rnacentral:rRNA from 1 species
UACGGAGGGGGCUAGCGUUGUUCGGAAUUACUGGGCGUAAAGCGUACGUAGGCGGCUUUGUAAGUUAGAGGUGAAAGCCCGGAGCUCAACUCGGAAUUGCCUUUAAGACUGCAUCGCUAGAAUCAUGGAGAGGUUAGUGGAAUUCCGAGUGUAGAGGUGAAAUUCGUAGAUAUUCGGAAGAACACCAGUGGCGAAGGCGACUAACUGGACAUGAUUGACGCUGAGGUGGCGAAAAGCGUGGGGAGCGAACAGG